rnacentral:tRNA from 1 species
GGCCCUAUCGUCUAGCGGUCAGGACGUCGGCCUCUCACGCCGAAAGCUGGAGUUCAAUUCUCCAUAGGGUCA